rnacentral:rRNA from 1 species
GCGAGUCGAACGGUAACAGGAARMAGCUUGCUKYUUYGCUGACGAGUGGCGGACGGGUGAGUAAUGUCUGGGAAACUGCCUGAUGGAGGGGGAUAACUACUGGAAACGGUAGCUAAUACCGCAUAACGUCGCAAGACCAAAGAGGGGGACCUUCGGGCCUCUUGCCAUCGGAUGUGCCCAGAUGGGAUUAGCUUGUUGGUGGGGUAACGGCUCACCAAGGCGACGAUCCCUAGCUGGUCUGAGAGGAUGACCAGCCACACUGGAACUGAGACACGGUCCAGACUCCUACGGGAGGCAGCAGUGGGGAAUAUUGCACAAUGGGCGCAAGCCUGAUGCAGCCAUGCCGCGUGUAUGAAGAAGGCCUUCGGGUUGUAAAGUACUUUCAGCGGGGAGGAAGGGAGUAAAGUUAAUACCUUUGCUCAUUGACGUUACCCGCAGAAGAAGCACCGGCUAACUCCGUGCCAGCAGCCGCGGUAAUACGGAGGGUGCAAGCGUUAAUCGGAAUUACUGGGCGUAAAGCGCACGCAGGCGGUUUGUUAAGUCAGAUGUGAAAUCCCCGGGCUCAACCUGGGAACUGCAUCUGAUACUGGCAAGCUUGAGUCUCGUAGAGGGGGGUAGAAUUCCAGGUGUAGCGGUGAAAUGCGUAGAGAUCUGGAGGAAUACCGGUGGCGAAGGCGGCCCCCUGGACGAAGACUGACGCUCAGGUGCGAAAGCGUGGGGAGCAAACAGGAUUAGAUACCCUGGUAGUCCACGCCGUAAACGAUGUCGACUUGGAGGUUGUGCCCUUGAGGCGUGGCUUCCGGAGCUAACGCGUUAAGUCGACCGCCUGGGGAGUACGGCCGCAAGGUUAAACUCAAAUGAAUUGACGGGGGCCCGCACAAGCGGUGGAGCAUGUGGUUUAAUUCGAUGCAACGCGAAGAACCUUACCUGGUCUUGACAUCCACAGAACUUUCCAGAGAUGGAUUGGUGCCUUCGGGAACUGUGAGACGGUGCUGCAUGGCUGUCGUCAGCUCGUGUUGUGAAAUGUUGGGUUAAGUCCCGCACCGAGGCAACCCUUAUCCUUGUUGCAGCGGUC